AUCUUGGCAACAAUAUUCAAGACAGGAAAGAACGUCAUUUCGGAUGAAAGUAUGCGGAUCCAGGAUAUUUGACAGAAACGUGAUAGAGAUACAGCCUAGAUCCGCCUCCGCCCGUGGUCAGUCGGACCCUCUGUUCUACGUCAACAGCAACACCCCGAGUCCCACGGGACUGACGUGCAACGACAUGGAGACCACCCCCGGACAAAGUACGUCAUUCCAAGAGACCGUCUCGCCGUUCAGCCGCAUGACGUCAGCGCUUGGGGCGCUUACUCUCACUCCCGAACAGUCACUGAAAGCCUUAGAAUUCGCCGUUCUCUGCGCUGAAUAUGGUCGUUCCGGGGUAUCCCCACAAGUUUCACCAAGGUUGGAGGAUCUGAUAGACGUAUUGUACAGCGAUUAUGGCAGUUUGCACAUCAAGAGGGAACCAGCUAAAAGACAUGAAUUUCUUCACAAUCUUCUCAACAAACCAAAAAUUGACAUAGAAACUAUCAAGGUUUCCCGGCGCGUGCUUUUAGCCACACCGGAAGUUUCAGCUAUGGAGAGAGGACAAUUCCGGUCUCGUCUUCAGAGGCUUGUAUUGCGCAGACGGGGAAUCCUUAUUGAGCGCCCAACCAGGCCUAGGAAUUUGGUUGAAGUCUUGCAAUCUCCGAUUCACUUCGAAUUCUUUAAGAGGUUCAUGAUGGACAACAAGACAGUCCAUCCUCUGUUGUUCUGGAAGUACGUGGAGGACCUUAAGGAGGCUCAGUCCGCCCGUCACCGGAACCACAUCAUCUCCGUCAUAUACCGGAAGUUCUUCAGCAAGGCCGCAAAGCAAGGUUACUUACUGGACUGCAGUGAUGACAUCAUCCGUCAGAUCCCUACCAUGGAGAGGAUACCAGCCAGCGUCCUUAUAUGUGCCCAAGCCAGCGUCUUCAGAUCUUUGGAAAAGAAAUGGUAAUCAUUUUUAAUGUGUAUUGUUGUCUUUUGCUGUACACUGUAAAUUCUCUUCCUAUUAUCAAAACUCUAUUAACUGCCUUCUUCGCGAUUUAAGUGCAUAUACCUUGUUAGGUUCUUACGCUCUAGAUAGUGAUGUUUCUUAGUUGCGGUAUAUUAAAACAAUUGAACCUCUGCGUUUACACAGUUUCCAACUUUUUUUUUUGUUAAUUAUUCAAAUGGCGCCACAGAUUUUUUUCUAGCAUUCUAAAUAUUGUGUUAAUAUCAUGAUGGUGCACGUGUUGUGUGCCAGGUUCCCGCGCUACAUGCAGACGUACCAAGUAGACGCCGAUUACCCGCCACCGGAGCAGACCGCGGAGAGCCCCUUGGCGAAAUCGCCGACAUUCGCUGAUCUGACAGAAAAACUAGUAAUCAACAAAGAGGCGAUGGGCAACAAAAAGAAAACACAGAAGAAACGGAAAACGUGGCAUUUAUGGCGCGGAUUCCUUCAUUUGAUUAUAGACUUUAUGGAUGCCAUGGAAGACGAGUAUGAAUUCAAGCUCCUAGAGCUGUACAUGCGCAACGAACAGGAAAAAGAUUCCAAACGAAAACGGGUGGCGGACAAGUCCCUCCUGACGUCCAGUACUAUUGCCGCCUACCAGACACGUGUCGUCCUCAGGAACCGCCUCGUUAUCAUCAACAAGCUGGUGGCAGACCUCAACUUCUGGAACGAAAUCCAAAAAUUCAAGAAACACAUUGAUGAGAUAAGCACCCGCGAAAACAUCACCAAAGUAGAUAUGGAUUUCCUGCAGCUUAAAGCUAAGGCCAUAGUCGACUGCUAUCUCGUAUCGGAAGUUCUCCCCCGGGUGCAGGUUAACAUCCCGAGUGACUUGGCCACCAGUAUAGCGGUAUCCCUCACACAUUCCGGGCCGACACGGGGGCUGUUUCACGACGCCAUGAUACUGAUAUUCCCCAUUAUCUACUUCUUCUGGAAAAGGUUUCGUGAUGAAUGGUUGAAAGGUCAUGACCCGAAGGACUUUUAUUUCCGUCUGAAGGAAAAAUUAACAGUUCCCUGGGUGUCCUGUACUCCUCACAAAGACUUAAGCGGCCCAGACUACCUCCAUGUUAGGGAGUCCCAGUGUCAAAUGAUGGCCGUCAAUCUUCACGAAGAUGAACCUUUCCGAAUAAAUUUCACGGUGAUGGGAGGGAUUCGUUACAUGUUUUCUAAUAGAGUGGGAACAAAACCAGCCACAAUGCCAGCGAAUACGGUGGGGCACAGCGCCCGGCGGCACCAUAAUUCACGGCGAUCACAACGCAAUAGCGUCAAUCGCAUACACCGCUUACAAGCAGAAGAUGCUACUCAUGGCGAACACAGGUAUUCCAGGCACGACAUGAAGAAGAAAAGCAAGAUUAUUUUGGAGGAUGAAGAGAGUGUCCGCAAUUUGGACCAAGGGGACUUGGAUGUAAAAUCUGAGAGAAGUCUCGAAAUUCAAAAACCAGAAGAACAGUCGGAGUCGUCUGCUACUGCACUCCCGGCGCGGCGCAGAAGACAGCCUGCAGCAACCAAUCAAUGCAAAGCUUUCAGAAUCAGUCAGCUUGUAGAGGAGCUGAACUCGGAGAGUGAUCGUCCCAUAGCCCAGCGAUUACGCACGCUGGAUCAGGUUGUCCGCGCUGCUCUCAACACCCAAAAUCGCUCUCAGUUCACGGAUGAUGCAAUUAGUUCUCUUACUUCUCUGCUCAAUUAAAUUUAUGCAAGAAACAAUAGGGCAGAGUUUGUUAUGGUAGAGCUACAUGCCCUACGAAAUACAUGUAACCAAAAUAAAACAAAAUCAUUAGUG
rnacentral:misc_RNA from 1 species